AGGAAAGUAGAAAGCAGUUUUGUGACACUGAUGGAUGUUUCUCAAUAAUUUUAAACUUAGUAUUGGAAUAAUAAUAUCUACUUCAUGCAAUUGUUUUGAAGUUGAAAUGAAAUAAUGAACAUAAAUUGUUUAGCAUAGUACUGAAUACAAAGUAGUCAGUCAGUACUAGGAAUGUAAAAGUAGUUUUUAAAGAAAUCACCUGCAUUCCCACUGCUAAAAGAGAUUACCUUUGCAUAUAUAAUUUUUAGGCAAUGGUGUAAUUUUCUCAGCCCUUAAAAUGCAAUUAUUUGUAUCAUUAACUCUAGCCCUUUAAAAAAAAUUGUAUUAGUCUAUUGCAUAUGUGGGAACUUGCUGAAUAUUCUUCAGGUGGUAGUUCUCACUCUUGGGGGUGAUUUUGACUCCAGUGGACAUUGGUUAAUGUCUGAAGACAUUUUUGGUUGUCAAAACUGUAGGGCCGCUACUGGCAAAUAGUGGGUAAAGGUCAGGGAGGCAGCUAAACAUCUUAGGAUACACAGGACAGUGCCCACAGCAAAGAAUGAUCCAAAAUAUCAACAGUGCCAAAGUUGAGAAAUCCUAUGUCAGCGUUCCAACAAUGAAAGCACCCAGUUUCUUUAGGAAAUGGCAUAAAAAUUUGGUUUCAAAAAAUGAACAGAACUUGAUAUUGCGAUAAUGGGAAAGAUAUGUCCUUUAAAGAGGGAAAGGAGACAUUGUAUAGUUAAUUGAUUUAUUCAUGUGUUUAUUUCCUGAUUCCCAGAUUGGAGAAAACUUUAAGAAUAUACUUUAUUUCCUAGUGUGGAUGGGACUUUGCAUUCAAUGCUUGUUGAAAUAGAAAAUGAAAAAUAAUGUUUUUUAAGUCUUUUUGCCUUUUCUUCUUUUAGAUACCCAUUUGAUGUAACUCGUCGGAGAAUGCAACUAGGAACUGUUCUGCCAGAAUUUGAAAAGUGCCUGUAAGUUCUCCAUACAUCAUUGUAUCUUUAGAAAAUGUAAUGUUUAAAAGUCAGUAGGAAGAUAGGACUCUGUUCUCACCUAUAGUCCCUGUCUUUCAUUUUGUGUCCGAUAGUAUACUGUGGUAACUUUGUAGAAACAUAUAGAGAGUUACAUGUAUAAUUUUAAAAAUUCUGGGAGCUAC
rnacentral:lncRNA from 1 species